rnacentral:rRNA from 1 species
AGUCAAAACUUUCAACAUGGAUCUCUUGGUUUCCGGCAUCGAUGAAAAAACGCAACCGAACUGCGAUAAGUAAUGUGAUUUGCANAAUUCAGUGNAAUCAUCAAGUCUUUGAAC